AAAAUUUCUCAACUCACUUUGUUCUUGAGUUUAGUCUUGGUUCACAUAACUACUAGGCUUUGAAUUUCAUGGGAAAUGUUUUGUUUUGAGUGCAUACAAGCAUGAUUCCGCCUUUAAUUAUUAAUUGCAUGCCAUAGAUGUUACUCAAAUAAACAUGUUUUUCAUAAAAUUUCCUUCAAGUGGUAUCAAGAGCCUAGGUCUAGUAGUUGGUGAAUCCUUUUGGGUUUUGUAUUUUCAUAGUUUAUGAUUUGAAUGUUGUAAUUGUUACAAGCUUUAUUCUUGCUUCUUUAAAUGUAAAUUUUGUUAGAAAAUUUGCCAUUGCAAAUGUUGUAGAUGUAGUUCAUAUGAGCAUGAAUUUUGGAGCUAAAAUUUGGUGCCAUGUUUUUGGGGAAAUUCGGCCAAAUCCAAAGGGUGGAUUUUUGGGUUCAUGUUUGUCUUGUUAAAAGUGUUUUAAAGUGACAUUAGGAACCCCUAAGUACCCUAGUAUGGUAAUAUGUUUUUUUCCCUUAUGUUUGAGAGUUUUUGGGUAGAAAAUGUUCAUGGAGCUCUUAUGGGUUUUCAUGAAUGUCCUUCAUUGUUCUUGUUAUGUUCUAACCAAGAACAAAAAGGUUUGGUGUUUUGAUUCAAAGUGUUUGAUGUUUUUCAUAAAGUUUUGUUUUUGGUGGUUGGUGUGACUUUAUUGUAAUAAAUUGUAUGACAUGAUUUGUCCUUUUUCAAUCAACGCCAUACCAAUCACUUACACCUUUUUCUUGUUUCAAGGAACCAUGUUUUAUGGAAAUCACUUUUUCAAACCUACCCAUCACCUUUCACUUUUGUUAAAAAAAUUCAAAAGUUUUAUGACACCAUCCAAAACCAGCCACCCUAUUAAAUAGGGUACUUUUGGGGCUUUUGUGCAAUUACAUAAAGUUUUGAUACUUUUGUGUAUUUGUUCUUUGACCCGAAAGUUUACGUUUUUACGUAAAGGCCCAAAAUCACUAAAUGACAAAUUGUUUUGCUCCUUUAAUGAAGUUUUUGCAUUUGUUGAAAUUUUUUGGUUCUAAUUGUAAUUACAUGAAGUAGUGGACUUUUGUGUUUUUACAAAGGGACCUCAAAAGUUUAUGUUUUGCAAUAUUGCCCAAUGGUUGAGGUUAUUGCUAUUCGGCCCAAAUUAGUUGAGAACAAAAUAGUUUUGUAUCUUUAAGUGAGAAUUGGAUUUUCAUUUCAUUUAGCUCCAUUUAAAUCAAUUCUAUGGAAACAAAAACCAAAUGAAAAUGUUGCAUUCAAGUUUAAUUAGUUAAAGCAUUAAUUAAUUAAAGAAAG
rnacentral:lncRNA from 1 species